rnacentral:rRNA from 1 species
UUACCUACGGGGGGCAGCAGUGAGGAAUAUUGGUCAAUGGGCGAGAGCCUGAACCAGCCAAGUCGCGUGAGGGAGUACUGCCCUAUGGGUUGUAAACCUCUUUUGUCGGGGAGCAAAAGCCGGACGUGUCCGUCUGUGAGAGUACCCGAAGAAAAAGCAUCGGCUAACUCCGUGCCAGCAGCCGCGGUAAUACGGAGGAUCCAAGCGUUAUCCGGAUUUAUUGGGUUUAAAGGGUGCGUAGGCGGAUUGAUAAGUUAGAGGUGAAAUGUCCGAGCUUAACUCGGGAACUGCCUCUAAUACUGUUG